rnacentral:rRNA from 1 species
AUGGAUCGCCGCCGCCAGCACCACGCCGGAGAAUUCGUGACGGACGUGGUGCUGUGGCGGCGAGGCCGGGCGGAGCUGAGCGCGCUGCUGCUGGCGGCCGCCGUCGCCUCCUGGAUCCUCUUCCACGGAGCCUCGGGUUACACGGCCGUCUCGCUGGCCGCCGACGUGCUCCUCCUGCUGCUGGCGGUGCUGUACGCGUGGUCCAGGGCCGCGCGCCUCCUCGGCCGCCCCGCCCCGCCCAUCCCCGACCUGCAGCCGGCGGCCGACGAGCUCGCCGCGCUGAUUCAUUCGUGCCUCGCCGACCUCGCCUCCGCCUUCCGCCGCGUCGCGCAGGGCCAGCCCGGCUCCGGCCAGGUGUUCCUCUGCCUCGCCGCCGCCGCCCUGCUGGGCCGCCUCGCGCGCGACCUCCCCACCCUGUGCUACGCAGUUGUGGUGGGCGCUCUGACGAUCCCGGCGGUGUACGAGAGAUUGAGCAUGGAGCGAUACAUGAGGAUGGCAUCUCUCAACAUGUACAGAUACGAGGUCUUGUACCAGAGCCUCUCCCUCACCUGCUACCUCAGCACCAGGGACUACCUCAUCGAGCUGCUCAAGGAAGCAUGA